rnacentral:rRNA from 1 species
UACGUAGGGUGCGAGCGUUAAUCGGAAUUACUGGGCGUAAAGCGUGCGCAGGCGGUUUUGUAAGUCUGUCGUGAAAUCCCCGGGCUCAACCUGGGAAUUGCGGUGGAGACUGCAAGGCUAGAAUCUGGCAGAGGGGGGUAGAAUUCCACGUGUAGCAGUGAAAUGCGUAGAGAUGUGGAGGAACACCAAUGGCGAAGGCAGCUCGCUGGGACGUGACUGACG